CUCGGGGCUGAGGCAGGGGCAUGCCGGAGCCUACACUGACCUGAGAUGGCCGGAGAGAGUCUUCCUGUCCACGACCAGUGACUGCCUGCUUCCAAUCUGUGGUCCCCGGGCCAGCGGCGCUUGCGGCAGCAGCAGAGAGACUCUGGGGGGCUUGGCAGGAAGUCCCGCCCGCUCGGCCACAAUUGACGGCAGCGGCUUCCAAUCGAGAAGCUUCUCCACUCCCUGUUUCCAGGAGCAGGAAACAGUGCCAGAAGUCCCGCCUGCCCAGCCGUGACUGGCAGAGGCUUCCAAUGGGAGGCUGUAUUUCUUUCCCCUACCACCUCCGCCCGUAACUGACAGAGGCAGCGUCUGAGGCUUUUUUUUCCCCUCGAUAAAGGAAUGCAGAGGCUUUAGGUCCACGCUGCGCGGUGGGCGGGGGCCUCAUCCGGAGGGGCGCUGCGGGCAGAAGACUGCAGCCGCCGCAGGCCCCGCCCAUCACCCGUCGAUGCUGUCAGCCCCAGGUUCCUGUCUCUGCUUUUCCCCCCGCUCCGUUCCCGCUCUCCCCCUACCUCACACACAGUGCAUGCUCAGUCCCUGCCUCAGAUCCGUGACUCGCGGUCACGCCCCUGCCUCAGCUUCCACGUGUCACGUAUUAUAAUCUAUAAAAAUAGUCAUAAAGUAAAACGCCCCCCGCUGCCCAUCGCGGGCAUGACCCCGCCUCAUGCUCACUCAGGUGAGACCCCACUAUGGUCUCCCGCGUCUCAGCUGACGCCGUCCCCGCCCAACCGUGGGGUCCCGGGAAAAGUCAGGGCGCGUACUGCCGCCGCCAUGACACCCACAGGCCAGCAGAGGGCGCCCUCGGCUCCCCUCACAGACGGCCCUGAGCUGUCUGCCCGCUGUGUGUGCGGGUCCCACGGGUGGGGGGCUGCGACCCCCAGGGAAGAAGAUGUCCACUCGCCGGGCCACCCGGGGUCCCCAGAGACUGAAACCGCCCCACCCCACCCCGCGGAGAGAUCCGCAUCUGCAGAGACUCGGGCGGGCGGGCGUGAUUUUUAUAUAAAAUAAAAAAAGUCUCGUGUG
rnacentral:lncRNA from 1 species